rnacentral:misc_RNA from 2 species
GGACUACUGGGGUUUCUAAUCCCGUUUGAUCCCCUAGCUUUCGCGCCUCAGCGUCAGAAGAGGUCCAGCACAUCGCUUUCGCCACUGGCGUUCCUUCAGAUAUCUACGCAUUUCACCGCUCCACCUGAAGUUCCACAUGCCCCUACCUCCCUCUAGACAAUCAGUAUCAAAGGCACUUCUCCAGUUAAGCUGGAGGAUUUCACCAUUGACUUGAUCACCCGCCUACGCGCCCUUUAAGCCCAGUGAUUCCGAAUAACGUUUGCACGGUUCGUCUUACCGCGGCUGCUGGCAC